rnacentral:rRNA from 1 species
GAUGAACGCUGGCGGCGUGCCUGAUACAUGCAAGUCGAGCGAACAGAUGAGGAGCUUGCUCCUCUGACGUUAGCGGCGGACGGGGGAGUAACACGUGGAUAACCUACCUAUAAGACUGGGAUAACUUCGGGAAACCGGAGCUAAUACCGGAUAAUAUAUGGAACCGCAUGGUUCAAUAGUGAAAGACGGUUUUGCUGUCACUUAUAGAUGGAUCCGCGCCGCAUUAGCUAGUUGGUAAGGUAACGGCUUACCAAGGCAACGAUGCGUAGCCGACCUGAGAGGGUGAUCAGCCACACUGGAACUGAGACACGGUCCAGACUCCUACGGGAGGCAGCAGUAGGGAAUCUUCCGCAAUGGGCGAAAGCCUGACGGAGCAACGCCGCGUGAGUGAUGAAGGUCUUCGGAUCGUAAAACUCUGUUAUUAGGGAAGAACAAAUGUGUGAGUAACUAUGCACGUAUUGACGUUACCCAAUCAGAAAGCCACGGCUAACUACGUG